AUACUUACCUGGCAAGGAGAUACCAUGAUCAAGAAGGUGGUUCACCCAUAGCGAGGCUCAGCCAUUGCACUGAGGCUGUUGCUGACCCGUGCGAAUUCCCCAAAUGUGGGAAUCUCGAUUGCAUAAUUUCUGGUAGUGGGGGACUGCGUUCGCGCUCUCCCCUG
ensembl:snRNA U1 U1 spliceosomal RNA